UUCUAAAUGAUAAAUCAUAUAAAUAUAUAUAUAUAUUCAUAUUUAGUAAGACCUGCUCAGUGAAAUUUAAACAGCCGCAAUUUCGUGCUAAGGUAGCAUAAUCAUUUGCCUAAUAAUUAUAGGCUAGAAUGAACGGUUUAACAUGUAAAUUUCUUUAUUUUUCAGAACUCUUGAACUUCUCAUUUUAGUAAAAAGACUAAAAUCUAUAAGAGGGACGAUAAGACCCUAUUGAGCUUUACUUUAAGUUUUACUGGGACGGUAAGAAACAAAAUCUUUUUAUCCACUUAUAAAAAAUCCUUUCAAAAAGAUAAAUCAAGUUACCAUAGGGAUAACAGCAUAAUUAUUUUCUGGAGAUCAUAUCUAAAAAAUAGUUUGUGACCUCGAUGUUGAAUAAUUCUCUCUUAGGAGCAGGAUCCUAAAAAGUAAGUCUGUUCGACUUUUAAAAAAUUACA
rnacentral:rRNA from 1 species